rnacentral:lncRNA from 1 species
GGAAAACAGAGCAUCCCUUUGCUCAUCCAUUUUUACCUUCCCACCUGCAAUAGUGAGAAGAAGGAAGGGGAAAACCCCCCUCCCCCUACAGCCCACUCAGCCAAUCCCCAGGAGCACUGCCAGCCAGCUCACAAGCCCACUUAGUGGUGAGUGGCACAAACACCCACUCCAAGACCCAGGACGAACCCCAGCCCCGCCCAUGUGGGGAACACAGAUACCCCUGCUCUCAGGCAAAGGAAUCAUCAGUGCUGGAAAGGAAUGGAGAAUCAGUCAGCGAUGACUCAGAAGUCGAUCUUUUUGUCUGCACACUGCUGAAAUGUUUAGAUAAAAAGUGAGACAUCACCUCAAACCAGAUGUUUAUAUGCAUUUCAACCAAGGUUUAGAUAUUUGGAAAUGCUGGGUGGAUAUGACAUUUCAGUAUCCCUUCAAAGACCAACACAUGGAAGCCAAGAAAGGCUUUCUUUCUAGGGCCUUAUGAAGAUAGAUUAAGAGAUAAGCUUGGCUAGGUUCAAAACCACAACUCAUGUGGCUACUGAAAUACCCAAGAAAAAAUUGUUUUCCUAAGUUAUAAGAGGGACUGAAUGUUCUUGUCCCCCCAGAGUUCCUAUGUUGAAAUCAAAUCCCCAAGGUAAUGAAAUUUGGAAGUGGGGCAUUUGGGAGGUGAUUAGUCACAAGGGUGGAGCCCUUGUGAGUGUCGUGAAUGGGAUUAGUGCCCGCUUAAGAAGAGGCCGGAGAGCCAGCUCCAUCUCUCUCCACCCACUGAGGACACGUGGAGAGGUAGGCAGUCUGCAGCCUGGAAGGAGCACCUCACCAGGUCCCAGCCAUGCUGGUCCUCUGAUUUCGGACUUCCAGCUUCCAGAACUUGAAUGCCAGUGAGAUGAAACCAAUAAACUUUGACCAAAGGAAGAAAUCUGAAUUCUAAUCCAAGGAGCAUGGAGAGAGGCACUUUGAGGUUUUCCAAGCUCUCGUCCUAUCUAUGCUUUGGGCGCUGAACAGGGAGGGGACCGUGAUGCCAUGCAUGGCCAACAGCAACGGAUGCCAAGCAAGGCUCAUGGCAUAAGACAGACUCGAGGAACUAAGCAGUGGUCACAGGCAGAGGGAGUUAGCAGUGGAGCUGACUGCAUUGGAAAGCCUUGGGAAAACAGCACGGAAAAUAACAGGCGGCCGGAGCCACGGCCAGUGAAGAGGGAGCCAAGAGCAUUUCGGCAUUGCAGAGUGGAAUGAAGCCUCUUUAGAGAUCAAAGAAAUCUCAGCUCCCGAGA